rnacentral:misc_RNA from 1 species
UCUCCAUCAAAUUGAAGAACGUCUGUUGAUUGUCUCCUAUCAAAACAAUCUCAUUCAGUACUUUGAUAUCCUAAAUGGGUUCAUUAAUAUAAGGAUCUGUUUCGUUUCAGUGAACAACAUUAUUUUAUGGCAAGCAUGCAUAACUGUAUAGGUUGAUCCAAACCAUGUUGCUGUCCAUCAUUUGCUUAUAUUAACGUCAUUAGCUGUAAG